rnacentral:tRNA from 1 species
GCUGGUGUGGCUCAAUGGCAGAGCAGCUGAUUUGUAAUCAGCAGGUUGAUGGUUCGACUCCGUUCACCUGCUCCA